rnacentral:lncRNA from 1 species
CAACCAAAUGUUGUCCGUGCAUUUACUCAUUAACCGUUCAACCAAAGCUUUUUAAAUUUUAAUAUGUUGUUACUGACAACAAAAUGAAGGUCAAGUUCAAUAAUGACGAUUUUUGACUUUUACCGUUCAGGAGUAUGGUUCUUGGAAGAUUGAAAAAUGGCAUUUCCAGUCGUGUCCGUGCAUUUACGCAUGAACUGUUCAACCAAAGCUUCCCAAAUUUUUAUAUGUUUAACUGAUGACAAAAUGGAGGUCAAGUUCAAUAAUGACGAUUUUGACUUUUACCGUUCAGAAGUUAUGGUUCUUGGAAGAUUGAAAAAUGGCAUUUCAAGUUGUGUCCGUGCAUUUACGCAUGAACUGUUCAACCAAAGCUUCCCAAAUUUUAAUAUGUUGUUACUGAUGACAAAAUGGAGGUCAAGUUCAAUAAUGACGAUUUUGACCUUUACAGUUUAGGAGUUAUGGUUCUUGAAAGAUUGAAAAAUGAUUAUUCCAGUCGUGUCCGUGCAUUUACGCAUGAAAUGUUCAACCGAAGCUUUUCAAAUUUUAAUAUGUUGUUACUGAUGACAAAAUGGAGGUCAAGUUCAAUAAUGUCGAUUUU